GUCUACUACCAUACCAUCCUGAAUGUGCCAGAUCUCAUCUAAUCUAGGAAGCUAAGCAGGAUCGGGCCUGGCUACUACUUGAAUGGGAGAAAUUAGAGUCUGGGUAAAAAGGUAGAUU
rnacentral:rRNA from 1 species